rnacentral:rRNA from 1 species
AGGACGAACGCUGGCGGCGCGCUUAACACAUGCAAGUCGAGCGAGAACCCAGGCUUCGGUCUGGGGGAAAGCGGCGAACGGGUGAGUAACACGUGGGUAAUCUGCCCUCGACAUCGGGAUAGCCCGGGGAAACCCGGAUUAAUACCGAAUGGCCCAUCAGCUUUUCGAAGCGGAUGGAAAAGGUAGCUUCGGCCUCCGGUCGAGGAGGAGCCCGCGGCGGAUUAGCUUGUUGGUGAGGUAACGGCUCACCAAGGCUUCGAUCCGUAGCUGGUCUGAGAGGACGAUCAGCCACACUGGGACUGAGACACGGCCCAAACUCCUACGGGAGGCAGCAGUGGGGGAAUAUUGGACAAUGGGCGCAAGCCUGAUCCAGCCAUGCCGCGUGAGUGAUGAAGGCCCUAGGGUUGUAAAGCUCUUUUGUGCGGGAAGAUAAUGACGGUACCGCAAGAAUAAGCCCCGGCUAACUUCGCGCCAGCAGCCGCGGUAA